UGGGGAGCGGCCCCCGGGUGGG
rnacentral:miRNA from 1 species